CUUCGGUCUCUAGUGGCGGACGGGUGAGUAACGCGUGAGAAUCUGCCCUCAGGACGGGGAUAACGACUGGAAACGGUCGCUAAGACCCGAUGUGCCGAGAGGUAAAAUAUUUAUAGCCUGGGGAUGAGCUCGCGUCAGAUUAGGUAGUUGGAGUGGUAAUGGCACCCCAAGCCUGCGAUCUGUAGCUGGUCUGAGAGGAUGAUCAGCCACACUGGAACUGAGACACGGUCCAGACUCCUACGGGAGGCAGCAGUGGGGAAUUUUCCGCAAUGGGCGAAAGCCUGACGGAGCAAGACCGCGUGAGGGAUGACGGUCUGUGGAUUGUAAACCUCUUUUCUCAGGGAAGAAUACUGACGGUACCUGAGGAAUC
rnacentral:rRNA from 1 species